GUGAACGCUGGCGGUAGGCCUAACACAUGCAGGUCGAACGGCAGCACCGUAAGAGCUUGCUCUUACGGGUGGCGCGUGGCGGACGGGUGAGGAAUACAUCGGAAUCUACUUUUUCGUGGGGGAUAACGUAGGGAAACUUACGCUAAUACCGCAUACGACCUACGGGUGAAAGCAGGGGAUCUUCGGACCUUGCGCGAUUGAAUGAGCCGAUGUCGGAUUAGCUAGUUGGCGGGGUAAAGGCCCACCAAGGCGACGAUCCGUAGCUGGUCUGAGAGGAUGAUCAGCCACACUGGAACUGAGACACGGUCCAGACUCCUACGGGAGGCAGCAGUGGGGAAUAUUGGACAAUGGGCGCAAGCCUGAUCCAGCCAUACCGCGUGGGUGAAGAAGGCCUUCGGGUUGUAAAGCCCUUUUGUUGGGAAAGAAAAGCAGCAGGUUAAUACCCCGCUGUUCUGACGGUACCCAAAGAAUAAGCACCGGCUAACUUCGUG
rnacentral:rRNA from 1 species